rfam:Salmo salar isolate Sally breed double haploid chromosome ssa23, whole genome shotgun sequence.
AAUCCACCACUUUGUAAGAUGCUCUGGAUAAGAGCGUCUGCUAAAUGACUUAAA